GUGGGGAAUAUUGGACAAUGGGCGAAAGCCUGAUCCAGCCAUGCCGCGUGAGUGAUGAAGGCCUUAGGGUUGUAAAGCUCUUUCAGUAGGGAAGAUAAUGACGGUACCUACAGAAGAAGCCCCGGCUAACUUCGUGCCAGCAGCCGCGGUAAUACGAAGGGGGCUAGCGUUGUUCGGAUUUACUGGGCGUAAAGCGCACGUAGGCGGAUUGGUCAGUUAGAGGUGAAAUCCUGGAGCUCAACUCCAGAACUGCCUUUAAUACUGCCAGUCUAGAGUCCAGAAGAAGUGAGUGGAACUCCUAGUGUAGAGGUGGAAUUCGUAGAUAUUAGGAAGAACACCAGUGGCGAAGGCGGCUCACUGGUCUGGUACUGACGCUGAGGUGCGAAAGCGUGGGGAGCAAACAGGAUUAGAAACCCGGGUAGUCC
rnacentral:rRNA from 1 species